GCUUAGCCCUAAACCAAAGUAGUUUCAUAACAAUACUACUCGCCAGAGCACUACUAGCAACAGCUUAAAACUCAAAGGACUUGGCGGUGCUUUAUAUCCCUCUAGAGGAGCCUGUUCUGUAAUCGAUAAACCCCGAUAAACCUCACCAACCCUUGCCAAUACAGCCUAUAUACCGCCAUCUUCAGCAAACCCUAAAAAGGAAGCGCAGUAAGCAAAAACAUAGAACAUAAAAACGUUAGGUCAAGGUGUAGCCUAUGGGUUGGAAAGAAAUGGGCUACAUUUUCUAACAUAGAAUAUUAACGAAAAUUUUCGUGAAACCGAAAAUGGAAGGAGGAUUUAGUAGUAAAUUAAGAAUAGAGAGCUUAAUUGAAUAAGGCCAUGAAGCAC
rnacentral:rRNA from 1 species